UUGUCCCAUCUUGAACAAAUUAUCCCCUGGACCAGCUUGUGGGUGGGAGAGCCAGCGCCUGGAAGGCGGCUGCUGGGACCAGGAAGGGCUGGUGUCACAGCAGUGGGGGAGGGGGAGCCAGCUGGAGCAGGGCCUGUGGCUGGGGGUGGGAGGUGGGGCGAGAGACCCUGCUGCCCGCAGUAGGAGGGGUCGCCCUGUGCAAGCUGGCAAAGGACAGGGAUGACAGUUAAGCAAGCGUCAACCCGGGAGGUGGGGCUGGCCUAUCUGGCUGGGCACCACAGAGCCGGGGUCCUGGCAAGCCCCCGCACGCCCACCCCAGCUGCCUCAGUGUGCAGAAUAUGGAAGAGACUAGGCCCAUGGGGCGGCCUCUCUUUCUAACAACUUACUCUUAGGAGAACUCAGUCCUGCACUAACUCAGCCCUGCAGGGCCGAGGUCAGUCCCUUCCCUGGGCGGAGUCCCCAUCUCCUCCUCCCGCCACCUCAGCACCCUGGGGACCAAGCCUGCAGCACGUGAACCCUGGCGGGGGAGCCUGCUCACACCACAUCCAAAUCAGAGAGGUUACUUAGGGCCAACGACGGGUCAGGCAGCGUCCCCGGGCACUGGGCAGGUGCUGUGGCAGCCUGCAGGGGGAAGGUACAGGAGGGAGGGCCCGGGCUGGGGCCUGGGGGACAGCGUGCCAAUCACGAGUGCAGGGGUCCUGGUUUGAGCCUGUCCUUGUCCUGGAGUCAGGCGGUGGGGAUAGUGGCACGGGCCCUACAAGUUGUGGGAGGACGGUGUUUGGAGGCUGAGCUGGGAGCCCGGUCAGCCACUGAGGCCCAGAUGGAGGCUUACUGCGGAGCAGGGCCAGGGCGUGGUGUGUGUGUGUCGGGGGUGAGGGGGUGAUUGCUGCAAAUGUCCAGGAAGACUCUGGUGGGACUGCGGGAACAUCUGCCUGGGGCCCGAGGGGCCAGGGGGAGGCUGUGGCCAUUGAGAUGGGGCAGCCGAGGGGCGAGGGGCUGCGGAGUGAGAGUUCAGUUCUGUUUGCGCAGGUGGGCAGUGGCCAUGGGCUCCAAGAGGAGGUGGAGGUGGUGUGUCUGGGGUUCUGGGGGUAUGGCUGGGGCGGAGUCUAACCUUGAUGCUCUGCCCAGAGGAGGCUACAGGGGGCGUGGCCUCCACGCCUGGGUCUCCCAUCUGUGCCUGGAAUCCUCAAGCUGUGGAUACUUGGGUCUGGGCCCUGCAGCCCCACCUGGGGUCAACAAACUGUGGCCAAGACCUCCCUGGGGUGCUGUCCCCUCCCACCUCCAUGAAGGAGGCCCCUCUCCAGGGUCCAGGGCAGAAAUCUAGAGUCUGCCCUCAACUCCUUCUAAACCCUGCCCCAGGGUCCCGGUCCAUCCAGCUUCAGGCCACGUCCGUGCAGCUGCCUGGCCAAUCUCCCUGCAGGUCACCCGCAGCCGUCCCCAAGUGCAUGGCUGUUUCCAGCACCCAGCGGCCACUCUGCCGUCUAGGAGGGGUUAGCUCCUCGGCUGACCCAGGAGGCCCCUCCGCAGGCAUCCUCUUGUCUGCCUCCUGGUCAUCUGGGUCCUGGCCCCUCCCAGGGUCACCUGGUCACUAGCAUUCGGGGCCAGCCCAGGCACUGCCUGACGCUCAACCGCAGCCCUGGCCUCUGCCCACUAGGUGGCAGUAGCGGCCUGGCCUUGACACUACCUGCGGCCGCCAGGGGCGCAGUCGCCCUUGCUGGUCUGAGUGCCCAGCGCACGUCCAGAGUCCUCUCAGCCAACAUGUCUAGUCUCCCCAUUUACUCCUCGCAGCCCACUCAGGCAGAGCGUCUCCCCACCCCCACCCCUGGCUUUGUGGGAGAAAAAGAACUGCAGGGGAGUCAGACACAGAGACCCACCACCUGAGCUCCCCGCUGAAGGUGGGACAGGCGCCCCCUGCUGCCCAGUCCCUAGGGUGCGUGCGGUGAUUGACAAGUCAGCGGUGGAGACGGGAUGAAGCCAGCCAGGGUACGUUUCUAGACAGGGCGGCCGGGAGUGCGAUGGGCUCCCUGCAGGGCCCUGCCUGGAAGGUGGGGGUGGGGCGGGGUCCCUCCAGCUUCAGGGGCCAGGUGCCUCGUGUGUUCCCUUCCAUGCCUCCUGGUCUCCUCCCCACUGCCCUCCUUCCUUGUCUGUGAGCACUCCACCUUCGGGCCCCCCUGCAUGCACAGUGCAUCUGCCUCACCCCCCUCUCUGGGCAGAUCCGUCAGCGUGCCCAGUGAGAGAAGGUGGUGGACCAGGUCAGCCGCCGACAGACACCUGGCCCUCACUUCCACACCAGGCCAGGGCUCCACCCAUGGCCCUGCUGGUGCCAGCUGGCGGGGGCCCAUGGGCACGAUGUCUGCAUUAGGGUGGGUGGCCUGCCUGCCAGCCAAGAUGGACCUGUCUCAGGGCAUUUGGUUAGGGAAGAGGUGGCUUUGCCUCUCCAGGAGGUGGAGGAAGCUCCUCCCUGCCCUGGGUGGAACUGGGGUUCCCACGGUGGGCGUGUUUGACCCCCUGAUACCUAUACCUGUGGCCUCAAGGGCUGGAGCAGCCUCUUUGGAGGGAGUUUCCUGGCGACUGGACAGUAGGUGGUGCUGUGGGUGCAGGGAGGCAGGAGCUGGAGCAGCUGGGGUGUAGCCACCACACUGCCUGCCACCUGCUCCUCAGUCACCAAGCCUGUGCUCCCUCCCCUGCACCACCGCCACCCCCUCAGGUUCCCGCUCCAGCCAGCAAUCCUUUGUCUCACUUCUGGGUGCCCCGAGGAAGUGCUGGGUGCCCAGGAAGCUGGCGCUGAACCGCCUGCAGCGGCAGUCCUGGUCCCAUCCAUUGUGGUUCCUGUCUCCAUCUGUGUGUGCAUGGAUGUGUGUGUGUACAUGAGUGCGUGCAUGUAUGCAGGUGUGUACAUGUAUGUGGGUGUAAGCGUGUGUGCAUGUAUGCAUGUGUGUACAUAUGUGCGUGUGUGCAUGUAUGUGGGUGUGAGCAUAUGUGCGUGUGUGCAUGUAUGCAGGUGUGCACAUAUGUGGGUGCGAGCAUGUGUGCGUGUAUGCAGGUGUGUGCAUGUAUGUGGGUGUGAGCAUGUGUGCAUGUAUGUAGGUGCGUACAUGUAUGCAGGUGUGUGCCUGUAUGUGGGUGUGAGCAUGUAUGCAGGUGUGUGCAUGUAUGUGGGUGUGAGCAUGUGUGCACGUGUGUGCAUGUAUGCAGGUGUGCAUGUAUGUGGAUGUGAGCAUGUAUGCAGGUGUGUGCAUGUAUGCAGGUGUGUGCCUGUAUGUGGGUGUGAGCAUGCAUGCAGGUGUGUGCAUGUAUGCAGGUGUGUGCCUGUAUGUGGGUGUGAGCAUGUGUGCACGUGUGCAUGUAUGCAGGUGUGCGUGUAUGUGGAUGUGAGCAUGUAUGCAGGUGUGUGCAUGUGUGUGCGUAUGUGGGUGUGAGCAUGUGUGCAUGUGUGUAGGUGUGUACAUGUAUGCAGGUGUGUGCCUGUAUGUGUGGGUGUGGGUAACGAGAGUGUGUGUGUUCCAGUCAGAGGGUGGGAGACAGGGUGCAGUGCAAACCAGCACCUGUGUGAGACCCUUGCCCCCAUCGGGCUCUGGAAACCUGGCUACCAGGGCGUGGCUCUGCACCCAAUGGGCUCUGAUCCAGUGUUUCGGGGCCAGAAGGCACUCUCUGCCAGGGCACAGCGUGGGUUUGCUGGAAUGCAAGGCUGGGCUCGCUGGUGUAGCCUGGGGCCUUAGAAGGGUUUUGAUCUGAGCAGAGGCAGCUGGCUCUGAGCACGCAGGGUGCUAGCCAGCCCACCCUGUGUCUCUGUGCCUCGGGGCCGGUGCAGCCCGAGGCACCGUGGCCCUCCCUGCUACUCACAGCCAUGGGCUCUGUCUCCCGCCGGAAACAACCCAGCCUGCCCUGGCCCCGUGUUCCCCGUGUGCCCCGUGUGCCCCGUGUGCCCUGCAUGGAGAGUUCCAUGGCUCACUUCAGAACAGCGGUAUCCAAGCAACAUGGCGUCAGGAACUGGGUCAGCUCGCAGCCUUUGCCAGCUGGGCUCGGAACGACACAGCCCAGAACAAAGGGAAGGGGUCGGAGCCGGCAGGACCCCCAGGUCCCCGAUGUGCCAGAGACAUAGGCUGAGAGUUCUUAAGGGAGCUGGCCCUGGGCGGGCGUGGGAGGGGCGUCUCCAGCCCGCCUCUCCUUGAAGCUUUAUUUUCGGUCCUGGCUUUCGUGGUGUUACGAGGCAGCGGACGGCGCGUCCUGUUCCUGCUGUGGUGUGGAUGCUGCUUUGGGAUUGGUCUCACUCUGGGGACCAGGAGCUGGGAGCAGGGCUGAAUUCUAUUCCUUGGCUUUGUCUUUUUUUUUUUUUUUAAGAUUUAUUUAUUUGAAAGGAAGAGUUAAAGAGAGGGAGGCAGAGGCAGAGAGAGAGAAAGGCCUUCCACCUUCACUCCCCAAAUGGCUGCAACAGCUGGAGCUGUGCCGAUCCAAAGCCAGGAGCCUGGAGCUUCUUCCAGGUCUCCCACAUGGGUGCAGGGGCCCGAGGACUUGGGCCAUCCUCCACUGCUUUCCCAGGCCAUAGCAGAGAGUGGGAUCGGAAGAGGAGCAGCCGGGACUCGAACUGGUGCCCAUAUAGGAUGCUAGCACUGCAGGCAGCAGCUUUACCCGCUAUGCCACAGUGCCGGCCCCUUGGCUUUGUCGUUUAAGAUUUAUUUAUUUAUUUUUAUCUAUUUGAAAGGCAGAGUUACAGAAGGAGAGAAAGAGAGAGAGAGAGAGAUUUUCUAUUGACUGACUCACUCCCCAAAUGGCUACAACAGGGUCAGGCUGAAGCCAGGAGACAGGAACUCCAUCCAGGUCUCCCACUUGGUUGCAGUAGCCCAAGCACUUGAACCACCUUCCGCCAACUUCCCAGACCCAUUAUCAGGGAGCUGGAUCAGGAGUGGAGCGGCCAGGACUCGAACCCCUGCUCUGAUACGGGAUGAGGGCAUCGCAUGCAGCCACUUUACCCACUGUGCCAGAACACUGGGCCUCCUUGGCCUUUUUCUUCAGUAUUCCCAGCACGUCUUGCCCUCCUGCUUCUUCCUCCUGAGCCUGGCUGCCUUCAGGGUGGGUGGUGUGGCUUGAGUGGUCCAUCCUGCUCCAUGCCCCGCUGCCUCCCUCCCAAACAUCUCCUCCAGCCAACUUCUCCUGGGCCAGAGCCCCGUGCACUGUGGAUGGUAAGUGUGGUCUCACUUCCUCCCUGCACCAGGAGCUCUGGGAGCUGAGGGCAGGUCUGGGCCUAGCCUUCCUAGAGGAGGAGCCGUGCAGAGGCCCCGGGAGUGGUGGACCCUGGCAGGGUCAGCCCCUGCCACUGUGUGUGCAUUAAUGGGGUGCAACCCCCGGGGCCAGCCUGGCUGCAGCGUCUGCUCCUCCCCAUUCUUGAGUCUCCUAUUUAGGGGCCGGUUGAGAUUGCUUAGGAAAUUUCCAAGCUGAGCUUUGCUUUUUGUUGGCUCAUUUCAUUGCUAACCCAGCUGCCUGGUCUGGGACGUGCUGUGUGGGCUCUCCAGGAAGGGCAGUCUCCUCCCUACUUUGCCCAGAUGUGGCAAUGAGGCUUGGGGGACGGAGGCGGGACCGGGUACAAAGGGCUUUGGCUCAGAGGAGAAGCCGUGGUGGGCGCCAACGCUGCGGGGUAAGGGGGGAGUUCCCAGUGUCUCUGUCUUCUGCCGCUUCUGCCGGCUUUGGGCCAAGAGCUUUGACUCGUGCCCCAGCAAGUUCUGCAGCCAGGCGCCCUUGCUUCCCUAGGCACGAGGAGUCAGACCCACGGACUACUGGGUGCAUAUGUUCUGGGCCAUGCGAGGGAGCCACGCCGUGCCAGGUGGCCUUGGGUUCCCGGUUCCCCUGGGGUGCUGCUGCCAAGGUGCCCUGGCUGCUCCGCCGUCGGCCUUGACCCCACCACCUUUGUCCCCACUUCCUGCUGGGCUUGCCUAUCACCGCUCGGGAGGGCUGAGCUGGGAGGUGGGUGGUACCCACAUGACCACACUUGGGCCCAGCCUUGCAUUCCAGGGAAUGGGGCCCUUGUUUGCUAGCAGCUGGGCCUUGAGUCAAUCUCAGGAGUUUACUCAAAAGUGGGAACACUGGCAGGCCCCCCCGCAAGGUGUGCUUGGGCUCCUGCUGACCUCGGGCGUAGGGGGCCGGGGCUGGCUGUGGGGCUGCACUGGGCAGUGUCAGGUGGAGGGGGACAGGGAAUCCAGUCCUGAUGGAAAGCAGACUUCAGAGAGGCUGGUGGUCGGUGCACAGGUGUGGGGACAGACCGGAACCCUCCACCACCGCAGCUCUCUCAGUCAGGUGCCCGUGCCCGAAGCACUGGCCCAGUCCCCCGGAAGCAGGCGCAGGGCCCUGUGGUGCACAGAUGGCUUGAGGAGGCAGCCACAGGCUCAGCCGGGCUGCUGAGACCCUUGAAGAUGGUCCGCAGUGUGCCCGGAGCCCCUGGGGCAGCCACAUGACCCUCCCUGCGCCUCUCCAGCCGAACGUGACACACAGCUGUUAGCCGCACAUGGGCACGGAUAGCAGGGGGCAGCUAGAGGCGGGCAGUUCGGAUUCCUGUGUGCUGGGCCCUUGUCUCAUGGAGCUGUGUCCUGCGCUGCCUCUCUGGGAGAGCUGGGGGCAAGAGAAGGAACUGAGUUCCAGUUCUAACCCUCUUGGGUCCGCUGUCAACCCAAGGAGGGGAAGAGGCUUGGAAACUGUAGGAUUCAGGGACGGGCACUCCGUAGGGCGCAGGCGCAGGGGCAGGGGCAGCUUGCCACCCCCUACCCUGUAUCCCCCACUUCUCCCCUCCCCACCAGCAGGAAGCCCUGGGCAGAGGGAGCCGGCUGCUGGCAUGGGGCUCUCACCUCCUCUGGUGGCCCUAAGCUUCGUGGGUCCUCCUGGAGGUGUCUGUGGCCUGGGCCCGUCUGUGAGCCAUUUGGGGGACGCCUUGCCACGCACGUGGGUGGUGUGGGGCAGCCAGGUUCAGGGGCCAGCGAAGAGUCCAAGCAGCUGGUCUGGAAGGCUCAGUGUGGGGGAAUACCCUCUACCAGGAGCCAGUGCCAUCAGGGCAGGGGCUGGGGCUGCACCCGGGGAGGGUUUGUGGGGUGGCUGUGAGGGCCCCUGACCUCGCGUGCCGCGUGGCCUCGCAUCCCGGAAAAGGCGUUUGGUUCCCGCCCUCCAAACUGAGAACAUCACACCUUGCCCAGGGGCACCACUGGGGGCUCGGAUGAAGGGCGGCCCCUGGCCAGCCUGAGUUGCCUCACACCCUGCCGCUUCCAUCCACCUGUAUGGUGCGGUUGUCAUGGAGACCAGAUGCGUAAUGGUGUGAGAAGGAAAGUUCUUGGUCCAGGCAGAAGGGGUUAAGUCCUUACUAUCAGUGGGAUUGGCCAUGAAGUUUUUUUUUUUUUUUUUUUAAUGCUUCUGUUUAUUUAAAAAAUUCGUGUGAGAGGCAGCCGAGGGCAGGAGGCACGGAGAGGGCCCCCCCACCUGCUGGGCCCACUUUCCCAGAUGCCUGGCUUGUUGGCUGAAACUGGGAAUGGGAAUGCAAUGCAGGGACCCAACUCAGCCAUCACUGCUGCCUCCCAGGGUCUGUGUUGGCAGGAAGCUGGAGUCUGGAGCGUGAGUGACGGCGCUUCCCCAACCCCGAGGACUGACAGACUGCAGGUGCAGUUGCCGAGGCCAGGGUGUGGCCCCCUAGAAUCGGCCCCAGUAACAGCACAGUGCCUGGAAGCCCCUCCUUCCCCUCCAGCUAGGAGGCGCUGUGCCCAGCUGUGUGUGCACUGCUUCCUGCCCACCUCCUGGCAGCCCCUCGCCAGGGUGCCGGGGUAGGGUCUGAGCUCCAGGGGGCCCAAGGAAGCUCAGCGGGGAUGCUGCCCGGAGGAGAGGAUGUGAGCUGCACAGCAGGUUCACCCUCGGCCUGCAGCAGGGACCCGCCUGCCCUGUGUUCCCCUGGGGACCCCCUGUGGGAUGGGCGUGUGUGUGCUCUCCCUGUGUGGAACACAGAGCUCCACCUGCCCCGUGCGCCUCCUUAAGGGCCCCCAGCCUCUCCCAGAGCCCACUCUUGGAGCCAGGCCUUGGAGCCCAUGAGGCCACUGUGGGUGCUGCGGUGGGGCAGGGUGACCACUGGGAGCGGUCACGUGCAGAUCAGAUUCUGCCUCUUGUCAGACAGGUGGGGAAUCUCAGGUGCAGCCACCGGUAAGGCAGUAGUGGCAGGUGAGGGGGUGGGGCCCUGUCAGACGGGACACACCAGCCUGGGCAGGGGUCAGGGGUAGUGGCUACAGUGCAGGGGCCCCAGCCACCCACGCUGGGUGCCCAGAAUCAGCGGCUCUGAUAUCAUUGUCACCACUCCUCCCAGCGCGCUGUAUCUGCUGGGUGCUGAUAGGGUUCCAAGGGGUCAGCUCUGAGGACCAGGGUGAGGGUGGGGGGCUAGGCAGGAUGGGGGAGGGACUCUCACUCUGCUGCUGCCCCCAGCUCUACACACCUGCAGCAAGAUGGGAACCCAGCCCCUAGCCACACAGCACUGGGCCCCUGCGGGCAUCAAGAGGCCACACACCCCGCGGCACCCUCCCCGCUGGAGCUGGAGCCCGCACGUGUCCCUUGCUGGCUUCUCUCUCCACGCCUUGACAUCCGGGCUGCCCUGUGCCCCGCCUGUGUCAAUAUUUUGGCCGCACGUGAGACUUCCUGUGGGCAGGGCUGCGCAGGGCUGCACGUGGAGUGGCCGCGUGAGGCAGCCCCAUGCCAGCCAGGCCUCUGCCUCCACCCCCCACCGCCCUCAUCAAGGGCCCUGAGGCAGUGAUGCACCUUCCCUGCCCCCACCCCCCAUCGCCCUGGGCCCCUGAGCACAGGGACCCUCAGGCAAGAUGGCUGGCUGCUCAGAACCUCAGUUGUCUCACUUGUGAAAUGGGCCCAGUGGCAGGGCCCAGCAGAUGGGGGAGCAGCUCAGUGACUUCCCCUUGUCUCGCCUCCAGUCCCACUGCCCGGUCCACCUUCUACAGCCACCACGGGCCUUCUGUUGUGGAACCGGCCUGUGGCCUUUGUUGUUGGAAGCCAGCUGGGCAGCCAGGGCUAUGGCAUCCAGCCCAGGAUUGGCUGCUCCCUCUGUGUCUGAAACAAGACCCUGAACCGCACUCCCGUGCCUCAGUUUCCCCAUGUGAAUCAGACUUAACCAGGGUAAUGGUAAUGAGUAGACUGCCCGGGGCAGGGCCAGGCAGAGCCCAAGCUGGCUGUGGCUUUGUCCUUGGGGUCCUGCCCCAGUGUGUGCCUUGGAAAUCAGGAUGCCUGUGGAUCCCGCCAAUCAUAUGAGCCCCCGCCCUGGGCCCUGGUGGAAAAUAGAAUUUGACCGUAGGGCUGGGUGCAGGAAAGAUUGUGACCACCAAGUCCCAGAUGUGGGGCCUGGGGCUCGGGGCAUCCAGGACACAGGGCAUGGUUGGUUAGGAGGCAGUUGUGUAGGUAGGCUGGGGCGGGCAGAGCUGGAGAGGAGUGGCUGAGGCGGGGCUGGACGCUGCCUUGCACCUGCUGGGCUGGCGUGGAGCCGCGUGGGGCUGGCCGGGCGGGCUGGUCCUGCACCUGCUACACCUACAGAGUCCUCCACCCUCACGGCACUGCUCCCUUGCCACGCGGGACUUUCCCCAAGGUGAAAAAGGUGCUGACAGGUGUCCAGACAUGGGCUGGGGUCAGUCCAGCUGGGCUGCUCAUUGGCUCUGUGGCUUUGGCUAAGUCACUGCCCUUCUUGGGCCACGUCACCUCCACUUUGCCUUUUGUUUGGUCAUGGAAUUAGGCCAUGUGUGCUAAGGGCAGGGCCCAGGGCCUGGCCCAUGACUGGGGAGUUGUGAGGGUCAGGGGGAGGGGGCGGGGACAGCCACCAGUGCCCGCUCCCGCCUCCCACACAGGCUAUGCUUGGCCCAGCCUCAGCACUAGCCAGGCCAUGUCUGCCUUGCUCUGUGGCACCUUGCUGCCCCUGGCCUCCCUGAGGGUGACAGCUGGCUGCUCGUCGGGCAAACCUGAGGGCUCCCUGUCUGCCUCCCCCAGACACUUGCCCGUGGCCAAGGGAUGGGGUGAGGAGGUGCUGGGGACGCACCGGCCUCGGUCCCCUGGGGUCCCUCUGGCCAGAGCAGGCCUGUGUCUGCUGUGAGUGGUGGAGAAGCUGGGUCUGGGGGUGGCAGCCAGACAACAGUGUGGGGUUCUAGCCCCUGUCCCACUACUGCUGCUGGCCAGGGGCUGUUGCAUCCACUCUGCCCCUCACUCCUGGCCACCCGGUCCUGGCUCCGCCCUUGCACAGAGCCUCUUGGGAAUCCCAGCCAAGACCCCCCAGCCUCCUGACUGCAGCCCCAAACACUCACUUCGACCCAGAGCCCCCUCCCCCCCAGCCUCCUCCUGUGCCUCCCUGGCCUCCUCCACACCCCCGGGACAGCUCUUCCUCCCAGCCCCACUGGCCUUCGUCACCUCCAAGGACUCGAAGGCCCAUUGCAGGGGCCCAGCCCAGGCGCUGCUCCCGAUGGAGGCGACUUAACACCGCCAAGUACUCCCAGCACGCUGCCUGCCCGGCCAGGUCACCGAGGGCCAGGCCUGGGCCUCAGACAGGCUGCCAGGGCUCCAGCCCUGGUUCUACCCGCCCUGAACAAGUCAUUUAGCCUCUCUCAGCCUCAGUGUCCUGCUGGGUGAUAGGCACAGUGGUGCUGGCCUCCAAGGCAGGGCCUUGCCCCGGAAGUCCCAGCUUCCCCAGCAGGGAGGGGCUGUGGAGGGGGAGGGCUUCGGGGGUCAGUCUUGCCCGUGGCUUGUGCUGGCUGCAGAGCCUGAGCAGCCCAUGAAGCUCUCCGGGGCUCUGUUCCAGUCUGUAAAACUGGGGAGAGCAGCAUAUGCCUUAGGGAGGAAGCGAGCAGGCGGGCCCGCCCGCUGCGGGUGGGGACAUGGGAAGGAUGCAGACGGUUUGCAAUGCAUCCUGGAGGUAGCACCAGGUAUGUGGCCGGACGCCUUCCCAGCAGGCCUUGCUGAGUGCCAGGCACUCAGGGUGGGCUGUCCUGCGGGCUGGGGGUGGUCUCUCGGAGGGGCGCAGCUGGAGGGUCCUCCUUCUGUUGCCCAUGAAGACCGCAGGUCCAGGGGAGCAGGACGUUGGCACAAGCCCAGUGCCCAGCUGGGCUGCGUCCAGUUCUGUGCCCUUGGCUCCCGCUCCUCUGAUUGUCUUACAGCGGGUGCCACAUGUGUGGGGCUCUGGGGCCCCCGGCCCAGCCUACUAAGCGUUGCCCGGUCCCCUUUGGGCCCAGAACUGUUGGGUGCCUUCUCUGAGGCCUGCCUCCCCUGGCCCCCAAGGGAGGACCUGCACCCAGAGUGUGGUCUGCCUCCACCCUGGCCUGCAGCGUCCCACUAGAGGCCUGCUGAGGUCUGCUAUGGUUCUGCCACCCAGCAAACACUUCCUGAGCUUUUGCCGCUGCAGGAGCUGUGGGGCGUGUGGAGGCUCCUAAGGGCCGCUGUGUGUCCCGGGCGGGCAGUGAGCCGACCCCGGCCACUCUCCUGCAGGACUCCCUGUGGGAAGCAGUGUCUCUCCCCGGGCGAGUGUUUGCACGCACCGCACACCCGGUGUGUAGAGCAGCGUGAGACCAGAGAAGUCGGCUCCAUGCAGAGGCUGAGGGAGGAGCCUGGAUGUGCCCCGUGUGGCUGCAGGGUGGGGUGGGGUGGGCUGGGGAGGAUCAGCUGGGCUGGAAAGGCCAGGGCUGCCCAGAGUCAGAGCCGGGCUCAGGGGCAGUAAGUGCAAAGACUCUGGGAGGAGCCAGGCAUUGCAGGGGGAGGGGGAGGGAUGUGAGGUGGCCGCCCUGCCACCCACCCGGACUUGAUAAGGGGACUGGAGGCGUCCGAGGCAGGGCCCUGGGGACCAGCCAGGACCCCAAGGCCUCCCCGCCCAGCCUUUGCCACAGAUGAGAACUUUGCUUUCCCAUGGGAGCCGCUUCGGCCUGCCGGUGCAUCCGGUUCCUCAUCAGAGAGACUGCCCUCCAGGGGCCUCUCUGUUGGUGAUGACAACCCCACGAGGGAGCAGAGGCCUUGGCUGGCGCUGGCCAGCAAUCUCAGGACUGGGCGUGGGGGUGGGGCAUGUGGCCGCUGCGUUGGUUGUUUCAGGGCUGCCAAGUGGAGCCGGGGCUUGUGGGGGUUGGGGGGUAGGAGCCACCCGAACUGCUCGGGACCCCUCGUCAUCUCCUCGUCCUGGGACCAGGGACAGCCCCCACCUUGGCCGGAUGUGUAGCUGUGUGCCUGUCACUCAGCACCGAGGCCUGGUCCCUGCACAGGAGCCCCACAGGGUUCCCUUGAAGCUGCGCCGUGGUCAGGGGCCAGAAAGCCCGGGCUAGCGGGUGGAGCAGGAGCUGGAGGGAGGGCCUGGGGGACCCUGCGGCCACCCCGUUUCCUAGGUGGGGGACAGUCAACACCCACCUCACCCCCGGCAUUGCCUGCCGCCAGAGGCACCAGCAUUUUUUCCUGCUGGGCUGCAGCAUCACAGUGGGCAUUAGCGGUUGGUGUGGACCUGGGGGCCGACGAGGUGCCGAGGAGGGGAGGGGAAGGGAGGGGGGAGGAGAGGAGAGGAGAGGAGCUGCUAAGGUCGAGGCCAGGCAUGCACAGCACCCGCCCGCGUAGGGGAUGGCUAUGGUGAGGUGCGCCCCACCUACUGGUUACACAGUCAGGGACCACUGGGAGCCCGGGUGGCUUUGUCUCUUGUGGGCCUCCCAGUUUGGAACACCUGACCCAUGCUGGGCCAGACCGGGGCCCGUGCUCUGGAGCGGGGAAAGGUGGAGUGGUUGCUGUGCCCCACCCCCACCCCAGCUACCUCCCCCCUCCCCCUGCCCCAGCUUCCUGGACCCUGCCUUCUCCCUUGAUGUCGCCUUUCACUUCAGGGGCAGGUGGGGGUGACAGGGCUUGUGCGGAGGGCGAGUGCCUGCCCCUCUCUGUGUGCAUGUCCUCCUGUGUGACGAAGCCACCAGGUUCCGCCCCCACGGAGUCAACCAGCUGUGGCUGAAAAUAUCUGGAAACAACUGUACGUGUACUGACCUCAACAAUACAUCCUGGCCACUAUUGAUAAAGCCCUCACGUUAUGUAAGGUGUUACGUGAAGUGUGAGCAGGUUAUAUGCAGGUACUAUGCCAUUUCUUUAAAAUAUGUAUUGUGUGUGUGUGUGUGUGUGUGUGUGUGUGUGUGUGUGUGUUAGAGGAAAUGGAGAUCUUUUUUAAAAAAAAGUGUAUUGUUUUGGAUUCUAUUGAAAGGCAGAGAGAGAAAGAUCUUCCAUCCACUGAUUCUCUCCCCAAAUGCACAACAGCUGGGGCUGGGCCAGGCCUUUGCCAGGAGCCAGGAGCUUCAUCGAGGUCUCCCGCGUGUGUGUGGCAGGGGCCCAAGGACUUGGGCCUCAGCUGCUGCCUCCCCGGGAGCCCGUGAGCAGGAAGCUGGAGUGAGGAGGAGAGCCAGGACUGGAACCCAGGGGCUCUGCUAUGCCAUGAUGCAGGGCUCUCACAUGGCCUCUCUCUCUCUCUUUUUUUUUUUUUUUAAAGAGAUUAUUUGAAAGGCAGAGAGAGAGAGAGAGAGAGAGAGGAUUUCCAUCCUCUGGUUCACUCCCCAAAUGGCCACGAUGGCCGGAGCUGUGCUGAUCUGAAGCCAGGAGCCAGGAGCUUCUUCCGGGUCUCCCACGUGGGUGCAGGGCCCAAGCACUUGGGCCAUCUUCUUCUGCUUUCCCAGGGCACAGCAGAGAGGUGGAUUGGCAGAGGAGCAGCCGGGACUUGGACCAGCGCUCAUAUUGGAUGCCGGCACUGCAGGCCAUGGCUUUACCGGCUACACCACAGUGUCGGCCCCACCACGUGGCCUCUUAACCAUGGCACCAUUUUAAAUAAGGUUCUUUGAGCAUCUGUGGGUUUCAGGCUUCGAGGGAGUCCACGGCCACUGGGGGAUGGCAGGCGCUGCUUGUAGGGUGGCUGUGAUUUCACAGGGUGCUCCAGCCCCUUAGAGCCCAUGCAGAGUGUGUUGGGCCCACGCCAGAGCCCCUCCCUCGAGGGCAUGGGGCUGUGCCCCACCUGUGAAUGUUGGUUGAAUGGGUGCAUGAAUAUGUUGUGCCUGCUUUUCCUCCCUGUGCUGUGGGUGUUUUUUAAAGUGCUUGCUGCUGGGGAAUCCUGCCCUUCAAGGCUCCGUGGGCUGGGCCCCAUGUGGCUCACGGCUCUUUUACUGGCUUGAGCUCAGCCAGGACCAAGAGAGGCAAGCUGCCUGCUCCUGCCCGAAGAGCACUGUGCCUGCCUGAACAUUCUAGAAGUGCCCUGUUUGCCUCUGAAGUCAGGGCAGUUCUCUCCAAAGCAGGCUGGGGGUGGGAUAGGGAGGUGGGUUUGGAUAUGGAAACCUCUGGGGGUGCUGACAUCAUGCCGCCCCCUCCCCUCACGAGGGUCAAGGGCAGAGGCUGGCUUCACACCCGCAGCUGUGGUCUCAGGCUCCCAGGUACCAGAAGGCAAGCGCUUCCUAUGCACAGGUGUGGAACGAAUGCGAGAAGACGACGCGAGGUGCUCGGAGCCACCACUUGCUGUUGGCUGCCUCCCCCAGCUUUACCCCCUCCCAGAGCAGUUCCCCCCACCAACCAGGCAGGCUGUGUGCUGGGCCCGAGGGAGUGCACCCAUACCCCAGCCUCUUCUGAGACAAGCAGGAGAAAGGAAGGGAACCAAGGAGACAUAGCCACAGAAGUUUCUAGGUUUUUCUUGCCUUCCAAGUAGGAGCUCUGGCCUCAUUUUGUGAGUUGCAGAAGGUCCUGGAAGAGGCAGUCGCACCUUCGGGGCAGCCAAGGAGCAGGUGUGUACGUGGGUCAGCGGGGUGCUCGUGGUCAGGUGGAUGAGAGGGCAGGAUCGGGGUGCUCCCGAGCAAGGGACCUGGCGUGACUUUACGUGUGGGGUCGCUCAGAGACAGGAGCCAGGGUCACCACCAGAAGACCCGGAUGUCAUUGGUACAGGUGUCCCUUAGCGAGUCCUCGAGGCUGUCCCAGGAAACAGAGGUGGUUAUGGGCAAGAGGAAGGGGAGCCCGAGGUGCGCAGGUGCCACCCCCUGCCCUUCCCCUCACCACUCCCCGUUCCCACGGCCAAGCCCUGGUGCUCAGUUCUGAGCCAGGAUGACUCCUGGCUGCCCGUGAUAGGGGUGGAGCAACCGUCCCUCCCUGGGAUAGAGCGGGUGCAGCCUCCAGCACCCCCAUCCUGUGUCUGCAUCUGCCUGUGUGCACAGACAGGGCCAGGACAUGAACUCCUCGCCCCUACCCGGAGAGGGGGUGAGAACACCCUGCGUGGGGACAUCAAAGCCCUUUAAUCCCCAGCACCUUCUCACCCAGGUGGGAACCUGCAUGGGCACUGGUUUCCAUGAGGAAGGUCGGAUCAGGCUCUGGGCGGUGGGCGAGGGGCUGGGGCUCCACGGAUGAGCGGCCUCCAGUACCUCCCCACUCUCAGCUGGGGCACGCAGCCCCCACCCCAGGCUCCUGCGCAGUGCGGGGCUGGGGGCCAGGGGCCAGAGUUGGGGCCCAGGGACGGUGCAGCGUGUUCCGAAGAAGCUGUUCCCUGUGCGGAUUUGACACAUCCUUGCCUACCCCCAGAGCAGCAGUAGUCAGGUGCCAGAUCCAGUGGCCUAAUUUUAGACCAGAGGCACAGCAGGGUAAUUAAAACAAACAAACAAAAAAAGAAGGCAAGGUGGCCUUGACCCCUUGUUAAUUUCCCAUGGUGGGGAGCAAGGGUCAUUGAAUGCCUGCUGGCCUGCGGGGGUCUCCGUGGCCCCAGUAUUACAGGUCUUGCUCUGCUUGGCUGAGUGUGGGACCUGUGGGAACCUGCCCAGCUUUGCAUGGGCUCGGAGCUAGAAUCACCUCCAGCUCUGGGCCAUGGGCACAGGCUGCUGCUCCUGGCUUCCUGUGCAGGAGUCACGUUUGAAACCUCAAGGAGCCGGCGCCGUGGCUCACUAGGCUAAUCCUCCGCCUAGCGGCGCUGGCACACCGGGUUCUAGUCCCGGUCGGGGCGCCGGAUUCUGUCCCGGUUGUCCCUCUUCCAGGCCAGCCCUCUGCUGUGGCCAGGGAGUGCAGUGGAGGAUGGCCCAGGUGCUUGGGCCCUGCACCCCAUGGGAGACCAGGAAAAGCACCUGGCUCCUGGCUCCUGCCAUCGGAUCAGCGUGCUGCGCCGGCCGCAGCGCGCCAGCCGCGGCGGCUAUUGGAGGGUGAACCAACGGCAAAGGAAGACCUUUCUCUCUGUCUCUCUCUCUCACUGUCCACUCUGCCUGUCAAAAAAAAAAAAAAAAAAAAAACCUCAAGGAGGUGAUGGCCGUGUGCGGGUCACGCCCUGCAGGGAGGCGUGGGCAGCAGGCAGCGAGCCCCGCCUUCUCCUGGAAGGGGGGGGCGGCGGGUGGGGGCAGCUUCCUCAGCGGCCUUCCAAAUAAUGGAAGAAGGCGCUGAUCUCGCUAACCAACGUUCAGGAGCACCCCGGGAGCGCUGGCUGUGUUCUGAUGUACGCUUUUGGGUGGGUGGCCCGCACCGCGUGCACCGCCACUUGUCUGCCUACAAGGAUAGGGUCCCCGUCUAGACCCAGAGCUGCCAUGGGUGGCGUGUUGUAUGUGUGGGGAGGUGAGGGCAUCGCAGGGAGGGCAAUGUAUUUGUGAAGGACCGAGGCUGCAAGUGCCGGAGCCAUGACCUUUGACCCCAGAGUGCCCCCAGGGGUCCUGGUUUCGGGUGUCCCUACAAAGCUCCUGCAGACCUGGCUUGUGGGGCCGGCACUGUGGCAAAGCUGCGACUUGUGACGCUCGCAUUCUGUAUAGGAGAGCCUGUUUGAGUCCCAGCUGUUCCACUUCCCAUCCAGCUCCCUUGCUAAUGCGCCUGGGAGAGCAGCGGAGGAUGGCACCAGUGCUGGGACCCCUGCACCCUGCCUGCAUGGGAGACCAGGAAGACGCUCUUGGCUCUUGGCUUCAGCCUGGCCCAGCCCUGGCUAUUGUGGCGAUUUGGGGUGGGGGGUGAAUCCAUGAUUGAAAGAUCUCUCUCUCUCUUUCUCUCUGUAACUCUGCCUUUCAAACAAGUAAAUCAGUCUUUAAAAGAGCUAACCCGGCUUGCUCGGUGAACAGAAAGCUACACAAGCUGCAGCCCCCCCGCAGGCUGCCUUGUCCCCUCCUCUGGUGUCAGAGAACCGCAAAUGCGCCUGUCCCCAGAGGGCCACAGGAGGUGCGGCCGUGGGAGGACGCUAAGCCCAGACUGUACCCGGCGAGGAGAGAAAGGGUCCCCGUGUCCAGCCCAUGCUGUCCCCUCGCUGUCAGAUGUUGUUUUCGGGGACAGUCGCACCUCCCUGUGAAGAAGGAUCGGGUGUCCGUGGCGGCCGUCUUUCAAUGCCUCUCCCUCCAACGCCGCCACCCCCACCCCAUGCCCACACUGCCCGGGCUUGCACAGCCUCUGGCAUAGCAUGCAUGGCGUGGAGCUGCAGGUUCAGUGUGGCCUGCAGGCAGCACGGGCGGCUGUGUGGUUGUGGCCAGGGGCAUGUCCCUGUCUGCACAGGGCAGGGGGGCUGAGGCGGCUCAGACCCUGGAAGGGAAACACUGCUUCUGCCCUGUGCUGUCUCUGCAGCUUCUCAGGAAAUACAAAAAUAUUCCAGAAUAAGGGUUACUUUUAUUUUUUUAAAAGAUUUAUUUGAAAGGCAGAGUUACAGAGAGGCACAGUCAGAGAGAGAGAGAGUUUUCUAUCUGCUGGUUCACUCCCCAAAUGGCUGCAAAGGUCAGAGCUGUGCCGAUCUGAAGUCAGGAGCCAGGAGCUUCUUCUGGGUCUCCCAUGCAGGUGCAGGGGCCCAAGCACUUGGGCCAUCUUCUACUGCUUUCCCAGGCCAUAGCAGGGAGCUGGAUGGGAAGUGGAGCAGCUGGGACUCGAACUGGCGCCCACAUGAUGGAGGCAGUCGCCCUGCAGUCUGCUGCCCGCACACUUCCUUCCUCCUGCGCUCACUCUGUGUACCCACCACGGAGCCCGCGUGAACUCUGUGCCACGGACUUGACUUCUUCUUCUUCUUUUUUUUUUUUUUUUUUUUUUUGACAGGCAGAGUGGACAGUGAGAGAGAGAGAGACAGAGAGAAAGGUCUUCCUUUGCCGUUGGUUCACCCUCCAAUGGCCGCUGCGGCCGGCGCGCUGCGGCCGGCGCACCGCGCUGAUCCGAUGGCAGGAGCCAGGAGCCAGGUGCUUUUCCUGGUCUCCCAUGGGGUGCAGGGCCCAAGCACCUGGGCCAUCCUCCACUGCACUCCCUGGCCACAGCAGAGGGCUGGCCUGGAAGAGGGACAACCGGGACAGAAUCCGGCGCCCCGACCGGGACUAGAACCCGGUGUGCCGGCGCCGCUAGGCGGAGGAUUAGCCUAGUGAGCCACGGCGCCGGCCCGGACUUGACCUCUUAACCCCUCCAGGGCCCAGCCCUGCUCAAAGUCCCCCUCCCCGGGACCCCAGGCACAGCUUGAGCUGCAGCUCACAAUGGAGGGAGAGACUUGAGGUGUGGGCUCUGCGGCUGGAUCUGGGAGCCCGGGGAGCACCAGGCUGGUGAGCCAGAGAAAAGCCCACGAGUUUUUAUUCCAUUUACAUUACGUGUGCAUGGGUCCUCACGGGAGGGCGAAGGCUGAAGAAAUGGCCGGAGCAUGGUGCUUUUGUCCUUUUUAGACCCAAAACAAAAAAUGCGUGAAGCAGCGGCCAGAUGGGGGUAUCUGUGGACCGGCGCAGUCCACAGAUGGCACCAAGAGAUCGAGGGGCCUUUAGAAGGUGUAUGGGAAGCAAAAUGAAAAGACAUUUGUAUUUUGGUGCAAAAAAAAAAAAAAUUAAAACCCAUGCAUAGUGCUACCCAAUCCCCAUGCACCUUUUGAAGAACCUCUGUGUAUGCACGGAUUUAAAAAAAUUAUUUUAUUUAUUUGAAAGAGUUACAGGGGCCAGUGCUGUGGCAUAGCAGGUAAAGCCAUCGCCUGCAGUGUCGGCAUCCCAUAUGGGCGCUGGUUCAAGUACCAGCCCCUCCACUUCUGAUCCCGCUCUCUUCUAUGGCCUGGGAAAGCAGUAGAAGAUGGCCCAAGUCCUUGGACUCCUGCAUCUAUGUGGGAGACCCGGAAGAGGCUCCUGGCUCUGGAUCAGCGCAGCUCCAGACGUUGCGGCCAAUUGGGGAGUGAACCAGCUGAUGGAAGACUCUCUCUCUCUCUCUGCCUCUCCUCUCUGUGUGUAACUUUUUCAAAUAAGUAAAUCAUUUUUUUUUUUUUAAGAGCUACAGAGAGUGGUAGAGAGGUUUUGCAUCCGAUAGUUCACUACCCAAAUGGCCACAACCGCUGGAGCUGGGCUGAUUUAAAAACAGUGUUUUGCAGCAGCAGCAAGAAAUUUGAAAGAAAUUUCCUUUUAAGUCCAUUUUCCCUGAACUUUGGCAAGUGCCAUUGUCUGUAGGGGUGGAGGUGGAGGUGGGGGUGGGGGUGGGGGUAGAGGUGGAGUUGCAGAAGGUGCCGGAAGAGACAGGCUGCUUCUGAGAGUUCAGGUUCACAGCUGCUGGCACCCCCCUCCCCCCCCCCCCGACUGCAGGGGGAAGGCAGGCCAGAUGUCCUUUGCCCCAGCUGCCGCUCUUCCGAGUGACUGCAGCCCGCAUUAUUCCAUGCACCAGGCUGGCAGGCUCCCGGGGUGCACGGACACUGAGUGACCCGUGGGUGACCGUGGAGCAGCAGGUGUCCUGCGGGCCUGGUGUCUCUGCUGUGUUUAGGUGCACUUAGCCGCCCAAAUGCUGUUCACUGUUGCGUUAGCAGCGCUCAGUACAGCAACGGGGCUCAGGGGUCUGUGGCCGAGGCGCAGGGGGCUCCACUGUAGGCCACGCGUGCAGCGGGCUGUUCUGUCUGGCUCUGUCCACCCAGCGCUGCCUCGAGAUGGCGGAAGGCCCCUCUGCUCUGUUCUCAGUGCCCAGGGGCAGAUCCGCGCGUGGAGUGGGGUGUGUGUGUGUUUGUGUUUGCAGCUUGUGUGUGAACACACGUCCUGGCCUUGGCAGCAGCUGCUCGGAGCCCCUGCGCCGAGCCAUUCCUGCUGAAUCCAUUAGCUGUGUUAAUAGUACGGCUGCUAAUAGAGAACAUUGGCUGCUCCCCGGGCGCCUCAUAGGAGGGCACAUCGGGGACACCGAGGGCGGCAGCAGCCUGGGGCUUUACAAGGGUGUGUCUUGUGCUGGGCUCACGCAGGGCCGGCCCUCAGCACCCCCUCCCACCCCUCCUUCCUCUUCUGUUUCUUGAAGGGGAGUGAGAAUAAGCCCGGUGGGUGGGGUCACCAGCACGCAGAGGGUCGGUAUGCCUGUGGUUGGGCGGGUAACAAAGCAGUUCCUGGGAACUUUCUGGGGACUGUGCGUGGUUGACUUCCAGAUGAGGAGCCCUGUUGGGCCCCCCAUCACCGGGGCUCCCUGUGGUCACGGGCCAGGUCAGCCCCAGGUGAGCCUGCAGGUGGAGGCAGGCGGGCGCUGGCAGGGGGGCUGUGGGCGAGGCUCCGCCCAUCUCCACUUCUCUCUGGGUGCUGGAAGUUUCUUUUUCGCCGCCAAUGCCGGAAGCGCUGUGGGCCGCUGAGAUCCCAGGACUGCCUGGCCUGGCCCCCAUGUGUGAGGCCGGUGCCAGUUUGAAGCUUGACCUGAAGGUGCGGUGCCGAAAGUCUUGUGCUCCAGGAGGGUGCCCAGUCUGGUUGGGAGGGUGCGGGGGAUGGGGCCCUGCCUGGCCGGGGUGGUGGCCUGCACGAGGCUCACGGCCCCGCACUUGCUGCUGUCCUCCCCUUCCUUCUGCUAGUGACAGCCUCGCCCGCGGCCACUGCAGGCACUGGCCGUGAGGGAUUAAUCCUGGGACUCAGAGAGGUGCUUCAGGUGUGGCCCCCUCCCCGCCAGGCCACGUGGUGGCGGGAGCUCCCUGGAGCCGAGGCGGAGUCCAGCAGGGAGGCACUGGACCUCUCAGGCAGCGGGGGCUUUUCUUUAACUGAGAGAGAAGUGAGGGGGUUGGGCGGCCGGAGCAGACCCCACGGCCCGUCUGGUCCCUGAGAGUCGAGGACGCCCGCUUCCGGGCAGCGGCACAGCCUCUUUCCGGCCGAGAACAUUGUGAGCGCCAGCUAGGGAGCAGGCAGGGGAGGGCUCGUUCCCACAGGGAGUGAGAGGCUGAGUCACUCACUGCAUGUUCCUGUUGGCCAGAGGCCGCGGGGCUGGGCUCCCUGUCUGAGGUCCCCGCAGGCCGUGGCCCUUGGACACGCACCUGGAGAGGCCAGGCUUGCAGUGGGGGCGUUGCCUGGCCACGGUGCGGGGAGCGUGCUGGCCGGGCCGCUCCUGGCAGCUGCUACGCUGGAAGCCGAUUGCCUUGAGUGGGCUUUUGAACGGGGAUGCCUCUUUUGGGUCCAGCAGGGCCCGAGGCCCACCUUGUACUCGCUCCCCACCCCCCGUCACCUCCUUCCUUCCACAGGGUCUCAGUAGAAGCACUGAGCUGGGGACAGUCGGUAGGGGGAGGGGGACAGGGCCAAGAUGGUGCCUGGGAAAGGCUUCUGGUACAAGCAGUCGGGAGGAAGCUCCUGCACCCCCAACCCAUCUGCAGGUCAAGAAGUGGAGGAGCCGGCCCCGUUUUGUUGUGGCUUAGGGAUGCCUUUUCCGUUCAGGGAGGUUUAAUGACCCAGAGCUGGUUCAGAUAUUGGAGACCGUUAUGUGGCCCCUGUCUCCCCGGCUUGGGGGGGGGGCCUUGGCACAAGGGACCCUGAGCUUAUGAUGUGGGCUGGGCUGCAGGUCCGGGUGGGGGACCAGGAGGCUGGGCCGUGGGCCUUGGAGGCUGGAACCUCUGCACACAGCAGGGCCGCCGCUGCCCCGACCCUCACCCCCUCAUCCAACUCCCCCCACCAGCUGCACCCGCCCUUUAUGCCAUUCCUAGGAAAGGCAUAAAGGCUUCUCCUAGCAAGGCUGAGGCACUGAGUGCCUCUGAACGGGAGCUCGAGUUCCCCCUCCUCUGGGACAGAGCUCACGCUGCCCACACGCUGCUGGCCAGGGCACCACACCGGGCUGUGGCCGGUCUGGUUUUAGAGAUGGGGAUAGUGAGGAUUAGGGCUGCAUCCCAGGCCCUGCCAGCUCAGGGUGCGCAGAGCAGGUGGCGUCCCUGCCUGUCAUCCUCUGCGGUAGCCCCUGGCUGUGGCCACGCUCUCAGCCCGUGUGCCCAUCUGCGAGAUGGAAGUUCUUGCUCCGCAUCGCACACCUCGCCAAGCCCCAGCGGCCAUGGGGUGGACUUAUCCUGGGAAGCAACCCCGGAGACCUGAGAGAUGGCGUCAGAGCCCGGAUGUGGCCGCUGUCAAUGCCGGAAGGGCCGGAGCCCUCUUCUGUCUUUCUCCCAUGCAAAGGCCGUCCCUCCAAAAACGCGGGUGCUGCCCUUGCUGUCUCUGUGUCCUUGCUGGGGCUCAGCGUGCUCCCCAGCCCCGCGCGCACCUGGGGAGCCGAGCGGGGCCAGGUGGGUCAGCGGUGCAGAGGCGAGGCCCGGAGGUAAUCCAGGGAAGCCGUGGUGAGCUGAGGGCACCAAGCGUGCGCGUCUGCGGUCACCUGAGCAGGCCCGCGCCGUCCCAGGCCCCGCCGAGACCGCCAGCCCAGGUGUCCGGAUUAACUGCGAAGGAGAUGCUAAUGAGACGGCCACUUUCCACAACACAGGGCGUGCCUUAAAGCGAAACAAGAUUAGCUGUGCUUUCUGGCUCAGGCCCUGAUACCCAGGGCCUCACUGGCCUCAAAGGACCUUCUUGGAAGCAGCUCCAGGCUGCGGGGCGCCUGGGGGCCCAUCCAGUUGGAACUGAGGCCCAGGCACAGAGACAGCCCACACCGUCUCUCGGAAGCUCUGAAUUGGCUUGGAAAACAGACCUGGAGAUAUUUUAUUACUCUGCCUGUUGCCGCCCCAGCCGGCCGGUGGUCCCCCCGGAUUUGAGGUGAAGCCCUGUGUCUCAGCCUAGCCUGUCCUGACCCCUGCCCCUGCAGCUGGGGUUGCUGGGGCCCCCAGGGAGCCUGCUCUCCGGGGAGCCAACCUGGCUAGCGGUGGCAGGCCAUGCUGCAGGCACCAAGGCCCUGGCCCUAAGGCCCUGGCCCUAGCGGUCUUCCUGGGGCUUUGCACUGCUGGUCUGGGGUUGUGAAUCGGGGUCCGAACUUGGAGAAGCCCCCGCCCCUGUUGACAUGGGCGUCCCCUGGCUCAGCCAUGGGCCACUGACACCACGGAGCCCUGCACAUCCAUACGGCCACCUGGACACAUCACAGAGGUUGUGCCCAGCGGAGGAGGCGCCAGACUGUGUGGUCCCCCUUCCUGUGACACCAGAACAGGAGAAUGGGACAGGCACGGGCCGCGUGUGGGGGUUUUCAGAGAGACGAGGACGUUCUCUGUCUUGAUUUGGCCGUGGCCACAUGACUGAAACCUGGGUUGAGUCCCUGGCUCCUGCUUUAGCCUGGCCCAGCCCUGGCUGUUGUGGAC